UUCUCUUAUACGCUUCAUUAUACUCUCUCUCUCUCUCUCUCAUUCUUCUCAUUCAAGCGGCUUCCAGGAUACGUUUCUUUUACAAAACCCUAGCAUCGGAAUCUUUAAUCGCCACCAUCGCAAUCUUGGUUUUUUGUCUGUCACCGUCACGUUUUACAAAUCCUACAGAUUCAGCAUUUGUUUGAAGGUUUAAAUCGAACAACUGAUAUGAUGCUGUUAUAUAGAAGAAGUAUAUAUUUCUUGUAAAAAGGGCACCUUCAAGUUCAUCGCAUGAAUACCGAAUCGUCUACAGUAGCAUCAUUAAAGUUUAAGUUUUGUGGGUAAUUUGGUUUGGUUUUUGUGGGUUUGAAAAAUUAGCGUUUUUGAGGGUUUGAAUUUUUUUGCUGUCUGCAAAUGUGAUUGAUGGUAAUUUGGUGGUUUUUGAGGGUUUGGUUCAGUUUUCUAGUUAAACUGAUGUUGAAUUUUGCUAAAGUUUAAGUGUUUGGGGUAAUUUGGUGGUUUUUGUAGGUUUUAAAAAUCAGGGAUUUUGAAUGAAUUAUUUUUAGUUUUUUUUUUGUUUGCUUAACUGGGUGGAGUUUGGUUUUGCUAUAGUUGAAGUGUUUGGGGGUAAUUUGGUUUGAUUUUGGUGGGUUUUGAAAUUAGGGUUUUUUAGGGUUUGGAUUGUGUGUUGUCUGCAAGCGUGAAGUGAACUGUUUUCAGUUUUAAAGGCUGUUAUGAUCAAUUUCAAUGCGUCUGAGUGAAAUUAGGCAAAGAUGAGACUGUCCGCAUCUUGGCAGGGCAACCCGAAUGGUCAUGUGGUUACACAAGACAACCCUAAGUAUGCAGCCAUGGCGGAUUUAUCCAAUCUGUUUGAUUUUUAACAAAUCUAAGCCUCAUAAUCAUUUUGUAUAGCAUAUUAAAUACCUUGGCUUUUGGAUGUUUUACCCUUUAUAAUGGAUGUUUAUGGCAUGUAAAUUGAUAUGUGUAUGCUUGGCAAGAAAGAACUAUCUGCAGGUGAAAGUCUAACAGAACCCAACUUUUUAUCACCCUACUUAUCUCAUGACCCGACACAUAAUCUCUUACACAGGCGAGCAAAAAAGGUAUAAAGUUUAUUUUCCUAUAGGUGUUUCGAUAGAUAGACUUUAUUUGUUCUUAUUUUUUUUUUGUUUUGUUUGAAUUGGUCACUUUUUAAACCGGUUAAGUUUGGUUAGAAUUAAUAUGCGUUCAGGUCAAAAUAAGUUAUUUAAGUCAGAGUGGACCUGGGUAAAAGGGAUUGCUUCAAGUAAUGAUCCGUUUUGACAUAACACCCCCGAAUGCCACCUUUUUUUUUCAGUUUUCUUAAUGAACUUGGUUUUUGAGGUCAAAUCAUUCUGAACUUAUUUGGGCCUAAAUCAAGUUGUUUUGUGUCAGAUGUAUUGUAUUACUUUGUUUGUAGCUUGCCUUAAGAAUCGCGGACGCUGCUCAACGAAUAGCGAAUGUGACAAAAGGUAACAACUGGUCAGCCAUCUUCUUUAUCGAGAUUCUACAAGUAAGUAACACUAGGUACCUAUACUUCUUCGAUAAGGGAAACACGCAAAUCACAGUUUCUUCAAUUCAUGGAAUUAUUGAAUUAGUUACAACACUUCUGAUGCUUUUUUUAGUACGAUCCGCUAUAUCCGGUCGCAAAAGGCCAAUGGCGGAGCCAAUGCAGAGAAAUUUGAGCAGAUCAAAUUGAAUGUCAUUCCAAAUUUUUUUAGGGAUGCUCACACAGAGAAAGAGGUAAUGGCAUAUCAAUUUUCUUCAUAUUGUUGUUUUUACUUUCUAUAUUACAUGUUAGAAUUUUGAUUUGAUUCUAGCCAUUGGUUGCAAGUGAGUUAUUGAUUAAGGUUAUAGGUGGCAAGACGGGUCAAAAUAUUUAUUUCGAUAAAUGUCGAACAGGGUAGACAUUGAUACUUCUGAUUACUUUGCUCUUGAUGUGCUGCUUAAUUGCCUCACUGUACUAAGUUUCGAGUUUUUGGGUAUACAACAGGUAGUCUUUGGAGGUCGGUCAAUGGGUGAUUAGGAAGAGGGAAUGAAAAACCCUGAAGAUGGAUACAAGUACUUUAAGAUAUAAGGAUCGUUGCACUCACAACGUGUGUUUAUGGAAAAUUGGAGAGCGAGUCAGAAGUAAGGUCUGAUGAAGUGAAGACAGUGGACUUGUGAAUCCCAUAAAGGAGGUUAGUUUAGCCCGGAGAUGGUUAUUUGGUUAGACUACAUGUAUACGUGUUUUGUUUAAUUAUCUACUUUAUCAAUUGGUAGUUCAAUUGUUUUGAACCAAUAAUGGUGCUACUACA